GCUACAGCUGUCUGUAUGUUUGCUAUAGGAGUUUAUGGAUUAAUAUCGGGAUCGUUUUACAUCUACACGUUAAAUAUGAGCAUCGGGACGUCAACAAAGAACAGAAGACUUGAGAUCUGAGCACCAGUGGACAGUGAAGACUAUGGAAGAGAAGAUGUGAUGGCUUUGUGUGGAAAGCUGCUAACGCCAGCCUGUGUCCCUCUCAUCAGUCUCUCCAGGCAGCACCCAGCUAUUCUUCCAUCUUGCAGAUGAAAAUACUUUGAUAUCACCUGGACACAGCAGGAACCUACGCCAGGAUCCUGUUUGUGGACUUCAGCUCUGCC